rnacentral:rRNA from 1 species
GACGACGCUGGCGGCGUGCUUAACACAUGCAAGUCGAACGGUAAGGCCCCUUCGGGGGUACACGAGUGGCGAACGGGUGAGUAACACGUGGGUAAUCUGCCCUGCACUUCGGGAUAAGCCUGGGAAACUGGGUCUAAUACCGGAUAUGAGCUCCUGCCGCAUGGUGGGGGUUGGAAAGUUUUCGGUGCAGGAUGAGUCCGCGGCCUAUCAGCUUGUUGGUGGGGUAAUGGCCUACCAAGGCGACGACGGGUAGCCGGCCUGAGAGGGUGAUCGGCCACACUGGGACUGAGACACGGCCCAGACUCCUACGGGAGGCAGCAGUGGGGAAUAUUGGGCAAUGGGCGAAAGCCUGACCCAGCGACGCCGCGUGAAGGAUGAAGGUCUUCGGAUUGUAAACUUCUUUGAUCAGGGAAGAAAGAAAUGACGGUACCUGAAAAACAAGCCACGGCUAACUACGUG